rnacentral:misc_RNA from 1 species
GAUGAAGAACGUAGUGAAAUGCGAUAAGUAAUGUGAAUUGCAGAAUUCAGUGAAUCAUCGAAUCUUUGAACGCACCUUGCGCCCUUUGGCUAUCCCGAAGGGCAUGCCUGUUUGAGUAUCAUGAACACCUCAACCCUCAUGGUUUGCCAUGACGGGCUUGGACUUUGGGGGUCUUGCUGGAUUGUAGUCAGCUCCCCUUAAACAAAUCAGCUUGCCAGUGUUUGGUGGCAUCACAGGUGUGAUAACUAUCUAUGCUUGUGGUUUUACAUCAGAUAACCUUCAGUGAUGGAGGUUCACUGGAGCUCAUAAAGGUGUCUCUCCUCUGUGAGGACAGCUCUUUGAAUGUUUGAUCUCAAAUCAGGCAGGACUACCCGCUGAACUUAAGCAUAUCAAUAAGCGGAGGA